GAUGAACGCUGGCGGCAUGCCUAACACAUGCAAGUCGAGCGAACAGACGAGGAUCUUGCUCCUCUGACGUUAGCGGCGGACGGGUGAGUAACACGUGGAUAACCUACCUAUGAGACUGGGAUAGCGUCGGGAAACCGAAUCUAAUACCGGAUCACAUGUUGAACCGCAGGGUUCAACAGUGAACGCCGGUUUGGAUGUGACGUAUAGAUGUUUCCGCGUCGGAUUAGCUAGUUGGUAGGGUAAAGGCUUACCAAGGCGACGAUGCGUAGCCGACCUGAGAGGACGACCAGCCACACUGGGACUGAGACACGGCCCAGACUCCUACGGGAGGCAGCAGUGGGGAAUUUUGGACAAUGGGGGCAACCCUGAUCCAGCCAUGCCGCGUGCGGGAAGAAGGCCUUCGGGUUGUAAAACGCUUUUGUUCGGGAAGAAAACCUCUGGGCUAAUACCCCGGGGGGAUGACGGUACCGGAAGAAUAAGCACCGGCUAACUACGUG
rnacentral:rRNA from 1 species